rnacentral:rRNA from 1 species
UAUUUAUUUUAUUAUAUUUAUUUUUUGUUUAUUUAAUUAUUUAAUAAAAAUAAUUUUGUUGAAUUUUGUCUUAGUAUAUUUUGUAGAAUUGAUUUUUUAUAUUAUAGUUUAUUGGUAAUGUAAUUGUUUUAUGAAAUAUUAUUUUAAAUUUUUAAAAGUAGAUUUUAUUUAUUGUACCUUUUGUAUCAGGGUUUAUCAAAAUUUUAGUAUUUACUUUACUUGUCUCGAUUUGGGUUGAUUUAUAAAUAAUUUAUAGUUAAUGUAUCAUAAUUCUUAUUAAAUUAUUUAUAGAAAUGAGAUGUUAACCGUUUCCCAAGAUAUCUAGUUUCUUAAGAAAAAAUUUAAUUUUUUAAAGUUAAUUGUUUUUAUUUAAUUUUUUAAGUAUAAAUAUUAACUUAUUUAUUCUUUAAGGGAUAAGCUUUGAAGUUAAUAACCUAUAAUUUGUUUUAAUAAAAUAUAAUAGUAAGCUUUAAACCAGCUAUCUUUAAGAUUACGUUUUAGUUCAUUAUUUUUAUUUUUGAUUUUAUAACUAUUUUAGGUUUUUUAUUAAGAUUAUAAAUUUAAUUUUUAAAUUUUUGUAAUAAUGAUAGAAUUAGUAUAUUUAUUUGUAUAUAAUUUUCACCUUGUUAAUUUAUUAUAAGGAACUAGGC